CUCUUGGUAUCUUUUAAAGAGAGAGAGAAACAAAGCACACACAUACACAUAGCAUGCAUCUCCUCACAUACCUUCUUGUAACAACUUAUACAUUCUUAAAACAUUCAUUGAAGGCAGCUCUGCAGUUUUAUAGAAGAAAACAUGCCAGGGAUGCAAGAAUCUUGCCAGUUCUGUGAAAAAUGACACCAAUUAAAGCUUAAAUUGCUUGUUUUCUCAUAAGAUGACCAACCACAACUGAAAUAGAUUCUUUUUAACAUACUGCAAUGUGAGAAUUUUCUUCAGCUGGAGAGUGUUUUAGUCUUUAAAUUGGAAGUUGUUCUUCAAACUAGUAUUGCAUUAUAAUGUAUGAUGUUCUAUAUGAUCU